rnacentral:lncRNA from 1 species
GGCGGAAUGAGCUGUCCACAGCAGCACUGGGUGCCGCCCGAGGUCACGCAAGAAUCUGGCGGGAGGCUGGGAAGCAAGGGGUUGAAGUUUGUUCCCCAAGCUGAUACAGAGGACACAGUUCAGUCUUGGCGUCACUCACUGUGUGGUGGCUCAGUUAAUAUUAAUUAACUCUGAGGACAAGCUGCACUUUGACUCACCUCUGGCUAAUUAAAUAAACCUGGCAUGUAAAUCAGCAG